GAUAAAGCCAGUGAUUCAGCUCAAGGAUAAUCAAAAAUUGAGGCCUUUCUCCAUAAAAGUUUUUACCAAUGGAGAGCCUCUAAUUCCUCCAAUUAAUGUCAAGAUUCCCAAAUAUGCACUGAAGUCAAUGGAAAGCGUUUUAGCCAUUGUUGCAGACGUCAUGUCCCUUCGUACUGGAGUGAAGAGUCUUUACACACUUGAUGGACAACCUGUUAAAUCUGUGACGGAGUUGAAGUUUGACAGCUGUUACGUUGCUGU